GCUGCGAUCGUCCAGUGGUUAGGACUCAAGACUGUGGCUCUUGAAACCCGGGUUCAAUUCCCGGUCGCGGCC
rnacentral:tRNA from 1 species